rnacentral:rRNA from 1 species
CCUACGGGUGGCAGCAGUGAGGAAUAUUGGUCAAUGGGCGGAAGCCUGAACCAGCCAAGUAGCGUGCAGGAUGACGGCCCUACGGGUUGUAAACUGCUUUUAUACGGGAAUAACGCGCCUUACGUGUACGUCUUUGCAUGUACCUUAUGAAUAAGGACCGGCUAAUUCCGUGCCAGCAGCCGCGGUAAUACGGAAGGUCCGGGCGUUAUCCGGAUUUAUUGGGUUUAAAGGGAGCGUAGACGGGUUGUCAAGCGUGCUGUGAAAUGUCCGGGCUCAACCCGGGACUUGCAGCGGGGACUGGCGUGCUUGAGGCCGCGGAAGGCAGGCGGAAUUCGUGGUGUAGCGGUGAAAUGCUUAGAUAUGACGAAGAACCCCGAUUGCGAAGGCAGCUUGCUGCAGCGGAACUGACGCUGAUGCUCGAAAGCGCGGGUAUCGAACAGGAUUAGAUACCCCAGUAGUC